CUUUGUGCUGAGAUUGUAGUCCUGCAGGCGUACAACUAACAAGCUGGGUGCAGAUAAGAGACUACAGCUCCCCGCAUCCCAAGCAAAGGUCCCUCCUCUACGGAGCCCCUCCACGCGUCCACUGCGGUUCCGCCGUGCCAAGGGGAGCUUGGCUGUUCACGGGCCUCACCUGCUAGCGAGAAGAUAGCUUGGCCGGGCGGCUGAUCUCACCUUGUAAUUCUGACACUGUGUCUCCCGGGCUUGUCGGCUUCAUGACUUGUGCCCAAAGUUUGAUUUCUCGCAGACCAGGAGGACCCAUUGGACCCCCGGGCUGGCUGCAGGGCCCACACCUGGGUUAGACCUCGCACAGGGACGCUGCUGCCACUGUAAUAAAGCGUGCCUACACGCUUCUGAAACUGGUGUAGGAACAACCUCAGUUCUGUGAAAGGCGGACGCAGCAGGACAGAAUCUCCGUGGACAUCUGUCUGGAGGAGCAAUUUUACUGCGACAUUUUAAAGAAACAAAUUUAAUUGAUUUCCAAGGGUGUCCAUCGCGCUUCCUUCACUGCCUUGAUCAUGUCGGGGUCACCACCUGCGGGGGUUUGUCCUGCAGACCCUGACUCAACGACGGAUGAAUAAUGUACACUGACACAGAUCUUAUGCUUGUCAGUCCUGCUGAGCAUCCAGGCCACUUACAGACUCCAAGAAGAGUCCUGUCAGCCACGGCUCUGACUUGUUGGCCCUCCCGGCAUUUAUUUAGCACACAUUUAAUGACAGAAGUCUCAGGCUGGAAACACUCUUUUUGUAGAACAUACAAAUGGACAUUUCUAAGCACAUUGAGGCCUAUAAUGAAAAAUCAAAUAUCCCACAAUGAAAACUAGAAGGAAGCUAUCUGUGAUAAUGCUUUGUGGUGUAUGGAUUCAUCUCACUGACUGAAACCUGAGUUUUGAUUCACCAGGUUGGAAACUCUUUCUGCAGAAUCUGCAAAGAAAUAUUUCUGAGCCCAUUGAGGCCUACAGUGGAAAACUGAAUAUUCUGUGAUAAAACUAGAAACACCCUAUCUGUGAAAAUGCUUUGUGAUGUGUGGAUUUUUCUCAUCGAAUGGAACCUCUGUUUUGACUCACAAGGGUGAAACACUAUUUUAGUAGAAUCUAGGAAGAAACAUAUCUGAGCCCAUUUAUGCCUACAGUGAGAAACUGAAUACCCUGCAAUAAAAAGUAGACAGAAGCUAUUUGUAAAAAUGCUUUGUGAUGUGUGGAUUCAGUGUUAAACUUUUAUUUUGAUUCCACAGUUUUGACACCCUAUUUGUAGAAUAUAUGAAUGAACAUUUCUCAGCCCAUUGAGGCCUAUCAUGUGAAACCAAAUAUUUUAUAAUAAAAACUGGAAACAAGUGAU
rnacentral:lncRNA from 1 species